rnacentral:lncRNA from 13 species
UGCCUAGUUAAACAAAACAAAAAUAUAAUGCUUCUGAAUGACACUUCCGGUCAUGGCGGGAAAUACCGGUUUACCUGGGAGAAUUGACUUAUUCUCAGACAGGAACAUUUGUAAAAUACCUGGAAAAUAUUCAACCCUACCUGUAAUCACAACACCAUAACAAGGUGGUCAGAGAUAUUUUACCGUAGUAUAUUUAUUUGCAUUGGGACAAAAAGCUCAAAUUGCAGUUAUGUUAUGCUAUGUAUAAAUCGCCCCCCAUUAAUAGCAAUGCUGUUAAUGACAUAAGAAACUCAAUUAACUGUUAAGCAAUAUGAUGAUGCAAGGAGGCUCAAAUUCGGACCCUAAUUGGGAAUCUUCACAGUUGAUUUUAAAUGAUGCCCCUCCCCGUCUUUAUCAUCUACAGCUGUAUCAAACCGGGUCUGAAACAACAAUCUGAAACUUUGACUCCACAGUUUAAAAUGUAGAUAUAGGCUAGAAUAGAAUAAACAAACGCAUUUGCAUGUGAAGUGUCUAUCGUUCCGUAUUUCCAGCAAGAAUUCUAGCAAAUUUUGGAUGAAAGUAUGAAAGAAAACCAAAGUCACUCCAUCUGAAUACCGACACCUCUAUUGGAGCGCGCAGUGUCUUGAGCUUUUCUGUGUUCGCUGUGACGUUAGUUACCUCCUGGCAGCCAGCAAGUCACUACCGGAGCGGAGCCGCUUGAAAGAUGCACAAGUAACCAAGUAGGGGAAGACAGACAGACAGGGGAACACUCCCAUUACCGGGCACGUUAGCUGUAAAAACUGAAUAUUUUCCUCUGUCAGAGCGGAAGAGUAGAAUAGAUUCUUACCCCGGAGCUGGGGGUUACGUUCGCGAUACUCUCCCGUAAUGGAAAGACUUUUAACUUGUCUCAUUGCUGCGGGAAGCUUAUUCCUUACAGUUCGAGGAGAAGUAUUCAAAGGAAGCGUCCAGACCAAGAAUCCCUCCCAAAAGGGAUAUGGGUGGUGGGAAUGGCUGGAUAUCAUGGAACCAUGUACCCAAACCCAGCAUGGGGCUUGGGUGAGAGGUCUGGAAGCCAGGGGGUCUUCAGGUUGGUCCUGGUCUGGGAUAAGGAGCCAUCUGUGAAAGUGAGGAUUAGCAGGGAACAAGUGAAUCUGAUUUCAAAUAUAUUUAUGUAUCUGUCUUCAGUGACGUGUGCCAGUGUUCCUGUCCCCCAUCUGGGAACUGGAUAGAUUUUGUCUGUGUGACCUCAGGUUUACUUUCAGAAUAUCGCUAGUUUUUGANNNNNNNNNNUUUGGUGUGCAAUUUUGAAUUAAAGGGCAGCUUUUUUUCCCCCCCUCCACAAUUACAAAAUGGUCUCCUGAUGUGGUUUAAGUGUUGUUGUGGACUUGGUGUGUAUAUAUAUAUAUAUAUAUAUAUAUAUAUAUAUAUAUAUAUAUAUAUAUACCUUAGCCAAUGCAUUUAAACUCAGUUUUUCACAAUUCCUGACAUUUAAUCCUAAUAAAAAUUCCCUGUCUUAGGUCAGUUAGGAUCACACUUUAUUUUAAGANNNNNNNNNNUAUAUAUAUAUAUAUAUAUAUAUAUAUAUAUAUAUAUAUAUAUAUAUACCUUAGCCAAUGCAUUUAAACUCAGUUUUUCACAAUUCCUGACAUUUAAUCCUAAUAAAAAUUCCCUGUCUUAGGUCAGUUAGGAUCACACUUUAUUUUAAGAAUGUGAAAUGUCAGAAUAAUAAUAAUAAUAGAGGAUUUAUUUCCGCUUUUAUUUCUUUCAUCACAUUCCCAGCUGG